rnacentral:rRNA from 1 species
AUUGAACGCUGGCGGCAUGCCUUACACAUGCAAGUCGAACGGCAGCAUGAUCUAGCUUGCUAGAUUGAUGGCGAGUGGCGAACGGGUGAGUAAUACAUCGGAACGUGCCCUGUAGUGGGGGAUAACUAGUCGAAAGAUUAGCUAAUACCGCAUACGACCUGAGGGUGAAAGUGGGGGACCGCAAGGCCUCAUGCUAUAGGAGCGGCCGAUGUCUGAUUAGCUAGUUGGUGAGGUAAAGGCUCACCAAGGCGCCGAUCAGUAGCUGGUCUGAGAGGACGAGCAGCCACACUGGCAGUGAGACAGGGCAGAGACUCCUACGGGAGGAAGCAGUGGGGAAUUUUGGGCAAUGGGCGAAAGCGUGAUACAGCACUGCCGCGGGUGUGAAGAAGAACUUCGGGUUGUAGAGCACUUUUGUCCGGAGAGAAAUGGAGCUGGUUAAUACCUGGGGUCGAUGACGGUACCGGAAGAAUAAGCACCGGCUAACUACGUG